CCCUUUGACUAUACUUGUUCUCAAAGUUGAGUCAAGAGGCUCAUCACAGUCCCUAACAACUGUUUUUUGUAACUUUCUCUUCAUAUGAAUGAACAAUUAUUGUAAUGUUGCUAUAAUUUAGAGAGUUUAUUAAUUAUAAAAUUAAUUAAGCUAAUUAAAUUUACAGGAUCUUAGGGAUACCCCUUAUUUCAGCCAAUUUGGCCAUAUAUGGGCCUAUUCUGAGAAUUAGAAAAAAUAUUUUCUACUCAAAGAGGUUUUGUUUCAUAAUUUAAGAAAGUUAGAAGAAUUGUAAUCGUUACCCUGAGGAUUCAGCCUGAUUUAAAGUCUCAUGGUUUCCUUCCUUUUUCAGGGGUCUUGGCCGAAGCAGUCGGUGGCACCCAGGCCUGAGCAUCAUUUCCUGCUCCUCGCACAGAGAGGGUGGAUGCGUCACCAGUUGUAGGGUUUCCCUGUCAACUCUCGUGAAUGGUGCAGGAAAAACACCAGAAUUGCCUAGUUACAGGGCGCCGCCAUUGUGGACACCCAAAGUUGUGUGGAGAAGAAAAGUUGACAGGAGAUCUGAUUGGUCAUUAACAGAAAAUCUUUGUGAUGGAAUUUAAUAGUGAAAUAUAAGUGAUAAAAAUGACAGGUGACAUAACAGAAUAUGUAGAAAGAUACAGAAGUUAUAAGGGAAGAUCUGAGUGGAGAGGUGAUAUUUGGAUGGACAAUUUCAUUCAGUGCGGAUCUACACCAGUUGUAAACAGGCCAAAAUUUGAAGGAAAAACGCAACGGCAAGCCGUAUAUUUUUUGGUGGAAUUUUGAAGGGGAGAUGAUGAACUUUGCUGAAUGGUGACUGAUUUUUUGAAAAUUGGCUUAAUAAAUAAUUGACAGUGAUUGGAAUUUGUAUGGAAGUCUAUGGGAAAACAUUUGGUGGUGUUUGUCCAUGAAGAAUAUGAUUGUUCGGUUUUAAUAUGCCGCUGGUUCUUACUUAGAUUUGUUCUUCCUGGUCUCUGCCCUGGACCUCUUGUGUACGGUCGGAAGGUGGACAACCUCCACUCCAAACUCCGGACAGGCGGUCCUGGUCCUCGCGCCGUCCCCCUUCCGGCCACCUUCCUCUUCUUUGCAUGACUCUUGAUGUUAUCGUCUGUAGAUGAAAAACCCAUUGAAUUACAAUCCACACAUAUUAAUAGUUUAUGGUAAUAAUUCUACCAAAUGCUAGAAAUGAAGUACGUUACCCUCACCCUCUUCCUCUUCCCCCUCACUGGAGGAGACUUCUCCAUAUUCUGGGAAAGGCAUGAAGGUGGGGUCGUCUUCCGCCUCCCUCCACCUCCAUCACCACCCUCCUCCACUCCUCAUCUUCGAGAGGCUCGUCCUCCGAUGUCUGAAAUAAUUGUAGUUGUUAUUGAAUAUGCAAUCUAGAAAGAGAACGAAGUGACUAGAAGCUUUAAGUUAAAUACUUACAUCCUCCUGGUCAGAGACCAGGGCUGUCUCUACAGCUUCUUUCUCGCCAGAUGUCUGAAACAGUUGUAGUUGUUAUUGAAUAUGCAAUCUAGCAAGAGAACGAAGUGACUAGAAGCUUUAAGUUAAAUACUUACAUCCUCCUGGUCAGAGACCAGGGCUGUCUUUAACUUCCUGAAAUAGCCUCAUAUGUCUUAGAAUAAAUGUUAGGAGUUAGUAGGACUUCCGCAAAACACCAGAAUCCCAACUCUGCCACCAAUUUUUUAAAUUAUGUAUAUUUUUUUUAUCCCACCGCUGCAACUAUUUUGUAACUCUAACCCUAACCUAGUGUCUCAGAGAGCAUUUAAAGAGAAAACUGUAUUCUUGAUAUUUACCCCUGUUUCCUCCUCCUCCCUUUCAAGCAUCUUCUGCAGAGAGUCUUCCCAAUCGUUCUUCUGUUCUUCAACGUCCAUGGGCAGCAUCUGGAAUAAUUUUAAUUGCUAAUGAAGAUAGGUAUAUGUAUAUAUGUACUAGAAUAUCGGUACCUGUAUGUGGAUACCUGUUUCAAGCCCCUGUAUGUGAGUACCUAUAUGUUGGUACCUGUUCAUAGGUAACUGUUAGAAUGUAGGUGUAUACCUGUUCCAUCUCUUGAUCAUCCAAGAUCCUCAUCCUCUUUUACUCUAUGUAAAUGCACUCUCGCAUUUUUUUUCACUAUCGUUUUUCAGUAGAGAAGAUAAAUUUGUAAAGCAUUAAGUCUUUGUAAUAGAUAUUUACCUCCUCAUCACACCUUCUUAAUUUAAUCUUGAGCGGCCUCAGGCCGCUAAAUUGCCUUUCAAUUGGGACUCCCCUUCUCUAAAAGAAAUAAGUUUGUAAACAGAGGUCAAUCUCAAAACUCCUAUGAGAAAUUCAAAUUAAAUAAUUGAGAUUGUGAAGGAUGAAAUGUUAUCUUCCCUACUUUGACCCUUAUGAUACCAUCUGGCAAGUGUCGUUUGGUGGUGGGGUAUGCCUUCGCCUUCAUUCUAAACAGGUUUGGAUAACCCGGGUUAAUUUCCCAUCCCUCCAAUAUCGGAAACGAAAUAUUGGAGAUAAAUAAAUAGAUGAGCAGAUAGAUAGAUAGAUAACACAGUUGGCCUCCUCAACAGCUAAAUUGUUGAAAGAAUGUUACCUCGAACUGGGGAUUCACCGUCAAGUUCGAACGGAUCCUCUCGACUGCCUCAUCCACAACCGCCGCCUCUUCCUUGUUUAGACGUGCAUUCUGAAAUUAUUUUAAUGGUUAUUGCAAACAGGUAUCCGUAUGUGGGUACCUGUGUGUAGACACCUGUAUGAACGUAGCUGUAUGUGGGUACCUGUAUGCUUUAGAUGUCCUUGCAAGUAAGUCCCUAUAUGAAUAUUCAUUAAAGUAUCUCAGAGGGGAUUUAAAGAGACCACUGUAUCAUUGAUAUUUACCAUUCUUUCUUCAUCUUCCUCCUCACGCUCCUCCUCCCUCUCCUCCUUCUCCCAACUCUCCUCCUUCUUCCUACUCUCCUCCUCCUAUGCCGACCCUGAUCCGUACUUUCAUCAUUCUGCAACAUAUGAAAUAAUUGCAAUGGUUACUGUAUGUGGGUACCUAUCACAAUAAAAAAAUCACCGAGCGGACCAUUCCCGCCCCGAUAAAAACUCCCCCCUCGCCCUAUCACAAUAAAAAAACCCGGAGCGGACCAUUACCUCCCCCGAUAAACACUCACCCUAUCACAAUAAAAAAAAAACCAAUCGGAUUUGUUUUAGAAAAUGGACGUGUACGACUUCGUCAGCUCCGAUGAAGAGAUGCCAGAAGGUUGGCUGCGAUUAGAGGUAAAUAAUCUUCAUUAUAUUGAUUAUGAAAAUGGUGAAGAUCAGGGCUACCAUAUUGUUAGGAAAGCAGGUAGAACGUAUCAUAUGCAAGGUGAAGAUAACGAACAGUGAUUAAUCUAGCCCCUUUAACGGUGAACUCACCCCCUCCACUGUUUCUAGAAUGUCUAGUACAAAGGAGGGUUGCUUCGAACAAACUAAUCUCACAACUGUUCUCAAUCCCUCAGUGUCCAUUGUUGAAAUACAUUCCUACAGUGAUGUUUAUUUUGGCGAUUUUGUAAUAUAUAUGAUAUGAUAAUGAUAGAAGAAAUAAAAUGAAGUUUGAAUGUUAUUUACCUCUAUAUGUGUUUGUUUCUCCUGUCUGACUCUGAUGGGUAAUUGUUGUUUAUCUAGUCCUUGAUGGACAUACCCACCACUUACACGUCCUCUAUUCCGAUUUCUGGGUGCCUGUAAUCAUAUUUACCGCAUGUGGGCGAAGCAGACGAUAUUCGGGAAAUCAGAACAGCCAAAAACGGUGGUAGAAUUGUCGUGACUAGUCCCAAGCUGAUCAGUAAAUCAAUCUGACUAAAGUACAGACCUAUAUUAUUAUAUAUAUAGGAUCUGAUAACUCCCCAUAAGAGAUCAUGUUCUGGUGAAUUUUGCAUUGGCCAAUGAAAUCAUAACUUCCUUUUGCUUGUCUGGUAUUUCGGAAGUCAUUCCAUUUUCAUACGUAUGAGAUGAUACCCGAUGAGUUCCGAUAAGCAAAUAACACAAUUAAAAAUGGCGUCGAUAAGUGCCACGCCGAGGAAAACAUGUCUUUUGUCGGAUGCGUGUAUCCUCUGUGGGUUUUGUUUUAAACAAAUUGAGAAAGCAAGUGACGGUAGUGAAAAAAUCCAAAAGUUUAGCGAAAUUAAACUGCGUUUAAAUGAAGAAAGGUGGGGGAAUAUCAGGAAACUGACGGGUGUGUUGACAGAUUUGGAUGAAAAAGGCCUUGGAGGGGUUUGCAAAAAAUGUUAUCGACAGGUUGAAUCUGUUUUAAAAAUUGAAGCCAAAAAUGCAGUUGUUAAAGAACGUUUUCGUGAAAUGGCAGUGCGAACUUUGAAAACAAAAAUGUUACAACUGCCGUCUCCCCGAAGAACAUCAAUAACGAAAAGAAUGCUUCGGAGCCCGGAUACACAUGUGCCCUCUACGAAGAAGAAAUCUUUCGACGUAUCUGUUGUGAAGCUUGUACAACUGACGCCCUUUAAAGAUCUGACGAAUACAAGAACGGAUUCAUCGAAAGCAGGGCUGUCUAUGCCAGUAUAUGCUGCAUGUAUCCCUAUUGCACCACAGGAGAAACAAGUUGAUUAUGCUUCAAUUCAGAUUUUGGAUUUUCUAUAAAUCUCAACUAUGAUAAAAGAUUAGUAUUUACUAUCCAAGUGGUCGCAAAAGUAGGUUCAUCACCGAUGAAAAGGAGAAGAAGGUCUGCAAAAUUGUUUUUAGGGGAAAAGACAUAGGCAGUGGAUUGAGGGACUUUUUAAAGACAAGUCAUCCAGAAGAACUAAUUGAGGGUUCUGUAGCAAUUUUAGGUGAUGAAUGCAAAACCUUGUGCAAGAGAAAUUCUGGAAGUGUGCUUCAAGACAAAUCAAUUCAAAAUGUUAUGGAAUUCACUUGGGACAAACUGUACACAGAACUACAAAUACGUGCCCCUAAUAUCCUGAAGAUAGUAUCAGCAAUGGUCAAUGACAUUCCAAUCCAAGUGAAUAACAAACCAUUUCAACUUGUAAUGUACACUUUGUCCCAGAUUCUGCAUGCCAGAUCUCAAGAAAUGUCUUUAGUACAGUACUUGUCAGGACUAGUGUUAAUGCAUGGAGGAUGCACCCUUAAGGAUAUCGAGAGGAUUGCCAAAUUUGGUGCUUCAGUUCACCCAGAAACAUUGCGAAGAAAGCUGAAUUCAUGGGACGAAUAGUUGGACGAAGAACUACUUAAGUACAAAACAGAAUGGAGUCGAGGAGGAAACAAGAAAUAUCAGCUAAUUGGAGACAAUUGGGAUAGAAAUAUUAUUCCAUGUUAUCGUACCUCUCAAGACAAGACAUUGUCUUUGCACCUGUUUCAGGUUAUUGGAGUCGUUGAUAGGGUGGAUUCUCUUAAUUGUGCUUUUGAUCCACAGCUCCUAGAUAUUUUAGAAUUAACUCCUGUGGAUUUUAUUCCCUCAGUAGCUGAUCAGGACAUUCUUCUGCAUGAGUUGACCUUUUUAGUGGCCAAUGCAGUGAUUGCAAAUAUUGAGCAGCUGAACGGAGCAUUUGGAUAUAUAUAUCCAAAACACUUGAAGCACAAGUAUAGUGAAUUCUCAGGAAUGAAAACGGAACAAUAUUCUUUGGGACUUUUUGAUUGUAAUGAAAUGGUUACCCAAGAUGUGAUCAGGCUACUAAAGGACCUAUCAAAGAAGAGACAGAUUGACUGAUGAGAGAAUACAGAGUGCCCAAGAAGCUAUGACCAAUAAUGAAAAUCCAUUGGAUAAGUUUGAAGGAUUCAUUUCCAAAAUUGAAGAUUUUCAUCGGCUCAUGAACUUCCUCGAGGCAAUUGUGUUGCAAACAUACAGCACCCAGUCAGCAAAUGACAGAGGAACAGUGUAUUAUUAUAAGAACAUAUUAAAUGCACGCAAUGUGAAGGGGAAAGUAAAGAACUCUUACAGAGGAUAUAAAAUGCUAUACCGUACUAUAUUUGAUGCUAUGUGUUGUGCAUUUUUCUUGAAAGAGUUUGGACUUCUUAACUUAACAGAGAGCAUACCACUGCCUGAUGAAUUCUCCAAAUGGACAGGAGAGGAAAAAAUACAGUGGAUGAAUAACAUAUGUGAACGAAUUGUGAACAAGUGGUUUUUUGGAGACAGUGACUUGUUUGAAGAGUUGCGACAAGUAUUGUCUGAUCCAGAUCAUGAAGAAAAUUAUUGGUUCGGGAACUUUAAAGAUGGUCGCUUUUCCUGCCACUACUGUGAAAAAACUUACUGUCAUAUCAAAAGUGCAGAAUUUCAUGAAAAAGAAGUCCAUGGCCAUUCCAAACCAGCAUUACGAAAAAGUAAACAAGCAAACCUAUUGCAAGAUGAACUUUUUGAUUAUUUGAUAGCCCUUUUCCGUCUGUCAGCAUUACAUCGAAAUCUUGAUACGGCAGUGGAUAUGGCUGAUGGCUAUAGAUCUAUUCGCUCAGCUAAGUACGAGACCCCGCUGUACAACAAGACCCACAAAACAAAAUAUCUUAUCGGCAGCAUCCAUUUAACAGGCCUCGUAUCAGGAACCUUGCCGCCUCCUCAAACAGAGAGACUUAUUGCAAAUCGCUGUAUAAAUUUGUCAGGUGGGAAGAACUCGAACAUGGCACUAGAUGAGUAUGUAGAACUAGUCAACAGAGAUACAAAAAACACUUGUUCUGGAUUCCAAACAAAGGAGAGUAUAAUUGCGCACUCGAAACAAUUUCCUCUUUUAAUCAAAGCUGUGAAAAAUUUGGACAUGAUUAAUGAUGUACAUAGAAGAAAAGGAUUCCACAACAUACCUUCAUAUAAAUCUGAUGUUCGGAAGAUUGUACAAGACCUUUUUGACAUCGAUGGUUUUUCCCAACAUAAAGGACGCAAGCUCAAGUGCAGAGAACUAGUCCAGAAAAGCAAUCCAUUUGCAGACAGUUAUAAACAGUUGGUGAACAUGAUAUACAGACAUAAACCUUUACUUCCAUUCCGUCGAUUAAGGAAUAAACAACUAUAAUGAUGUGAUUGUUUAUCUACCUGGUACAUGAGACAUAAAAUCAAAUUAAAUAUUAUGGAGGAUUAUCGCCAAGACUUGUCCAAUGUACAUGCACACAUAUACAAUGUACAGUAAUUAAAUUUUCAAAUGGAAUAAACAUGGAUUUAAUCAA